rfam:Schistosoma haematobium C9857137_1, whole genome shotgun sequence.
AUCCAGCUGAUGAGUCCAAAGUAGGACGAAAUGUGCAUCCUAGAU